CAAUAGCGUAUAUUAAAGUUGUUGCGGUUAAAAAGCUCGUAGUUGGAUUUCUGCCGAGGACGACCGGUCUGCCCUCUGGGUGAGUAUCUGGCUCGGCCUGGGCAUCUUCUUGGAGAACGUAGCUGCACUUGACUGUGUGGUGCGGUAUCCAGGACUUUUACUUUGAGGAAAUUAGAGUGUUUCAAGCAGGCUUACGCCUUGAAUACAUUAGCAUGGAAUAAUAAGAUAGGACUUUGGUGCUAUUUUGUUGGUUGAGCCUAAAGUAAUGAUUAAUAGGGAUAGUUGGGGGCACCUGUAUUGCGUUGUCAGAGGUGAAAUUCUUGGAUUUACGCAAGACAAACAGCUGCGAAAGCGUCUGCCAAGGAUGUUUUCAUUAA
rnacentral:rRNA from 1 species